rnacentral:misc_RNA from 1 species
GGGGCAUUCAAAUUAUGCAUUCAAAACAAUAGAAAGAGAGUUAAAUAUUUUAAGCUGUGAUAGAAGUUUUCCUGAACUGUAUGCUUGCAUAAAUGGGAUCAGUUACCACCUUUUUAUAUGGAUAUCCAAGAGAAUUUCUGCAUUUCUGGAAUUGUUGAAUUUUAGUUGCAUCCAAUGAAAUGUCUUAUUAAUUUUGUAAUGGCUAAAAUCAUUUUUCAAGCUUUUUUAACAAUCAGUAGUCAUGGAUGUUUAUGCAAUUAUGCUACAUCGGCGGAUCAAAUAGUGCAGUUGUAUAAAGCAUAGUGCAAUUGGCACCUAAUGUUUUUAUAGCUGCUUUCACUGAUAGUUUGUUUUACUCCUUUUCUUUUCACAGAAACCUUUUUUCAUGACUGCAAAAUUUCAUGUCGCCAUAUGCCAUCAGGAAGACGUUCUUUAAUGGAUUUGGAACCUGCCUACAAGAUGGAGAGCAUAAGAGCAGUCCAAGAUAUUCAGCAUGAAUUUUGGCCUCUUGAUGAAAUAAAUGGAGAGAAUGCUAAGUUCCCCUGUUGUUUAGUUUGGACUCCUCUACCAGUAGUCUCAUGGUUGGCACCUUUCAUU